UACGUAGGGUGCGAGCGUUGUCCGGAAUUAUUGGGCGUAAAGAGCUCGUAGGCGGUGUGUCACGUCGGCCGUGAAACCUGCAGCUUAACUGUGGGCGUGCGGUCGAUACGGGCAUCACUGGAGUUCGGCAGGGGAGACUGGAAUUCCUGGUGUAGCGGUGAAAUGCGCAGAUAUCAGGAGGAACACCAAUGGCGAAGGCAGCUCGCUGGGACGGUACUGACGCUGAGGCGCGAAAGCGUGGGGAGCGAACAGG
rnacentral:rRNA from 1 species